AGGGCUUAGGGGGGACAUGGACAGAGCGGGGCGCUCACUCAGAGGGAGGUUCCACCGAGGAGCCUGUGCGGGAACAGUCAGAAAGGACGAGGGCGAAGCGGCCGAGGAGGGGGUCGCAGAAGCCACGGGAAACGCGCAAAGGAUGCACGCGAGGGCAGCAUCCGACACGGCAGUUGGGAGACUUGAGCAUAUUGAAACGUAGAUAGGAAGGAGAGAUUUGGGAGAAGUUGGCAGUGGGGACAGGGAGACGCUGAGCAGAAAGGACGGCUGAAGCAGUGCAGAAAAGGGAGGCACACAGAGGAGAAGGCGAUGUGAAGACAGAGACUGGUGGUGAUUCGGCCAAGGAAUGCCGGCCACCACCAGGAGCUGGGAGAGGCAAGGGAUGGAUUCUUUUCUAAAGCCGCUGGAGACAGUGUGCCCCGCUAGCACCUCGAGUUCAGCCCAGUGAACUGCAUUGUGACUUCUGGCCUCCAGAACUAGGAGAGAAUACAUUUCGGAUGUUUUAAGCCGUCAGGGUUUGUGGUCGUUUCUUACAGGAGCCACAGGAAACUAACGCACCGUCCAACACCACAGUGUAUGUUAAUUGCCUGUCUUCUCCAUGAGGUUAUGA